rnacentral:rRNA from 1 species
UCCACGCUAUAAACUAUGGACACUAGGUAUAAGGAGUAUCGACCCUCUUUGUGCCGAAGCUAACGCGUUAAGUGUCCCACCUGGGGAGUACGACCGCAAGGUUAAAACUCAAAGGAAUUGACGGGGACCCGCACAAGCGGUGGAUGAUGUGGUUUAAUUCGAUGCAACGCGAAAAACCUUACCCACCUUUGACAUGUACGGAAUCCUUUAGAGAUAGAGGAGUGCUCGAAAGAGAGCCGUAACACAGGUGCUGCAUGGCUGUCGUCAGCUCGUGUCGUGAGAUGUUGGGUUAAGUCCCGC